CAUAACCUGGUUGAUCCUGCCAGUAGUCAUAUGCUUGUCUCAAAGAUUAAGCCAUGCAUGUCUAAGUAUAAGCGACUAUACUGUGAAACUGCGAAUGGCUCAUUAAAUCAGUUAUGGUUUAUUUGAUGGUACCUACUACUUGGAUAACCGUAGUAAUUCUAGAGCUAAUACAUGCAGGAAGACCCGACUCUGAAG
rnacentral:rRNA from 1 species